rnacentral:rRNA from 1 species
GACAAACGCUGGCGGCGUGCAUAAAACAUGCAAGUCGAACGGAUCUCAGUCCGCAAGGACUGAGGCGAGUGGCGAACGGCUGAGUAACACGUAGGUGACCUGCCCCGAAGUGGGGGAUAACGACUCGAAAGAGUCGCUAAUACCGCAUGUGACCACCGAUGCAUUUCGGUGCUCAAAGUCGCAAGACGCUUUGGGAGGGGCCUGCGGCGGAUUAGCUAGUUGGGGUGGUAACGGCGCACCAAGGCUUCGAUCCGUAGCUGGUCUGGGAGGAUGGCCAGCCAGAAUGGGACUGAGACACGGCCCAGACUCCUACGGGAGGCAGCAGUGGGGAAUUUUGGACAAUGGGCGCAAGCCUGAUCCAGCCAUGCCGCGUGCGGGAAGAAGGCCUUCGGGUUGUAAACCGCUUUUGGCAGGAACGAAACGGCGCAAGCCAAUACCUUGCGCUAAUGACGGUACCUGCAGAAUAAGCACCGGCUAACUACGUGCCAGCCGCCGCAGAAAAAC